ACUUACCUGGCAGGGGAGAUACCAUGAUCACGAAGGUGGUUUUCCCAGGGCGAGGCUUAUCCAUUGCACUCCGGAUGUGCUGACCCCUGCGAUUUCCCCAAAUGCGGGAAACUCGACUGCAUAAUUUGUGGUAGUGGGGGACUGCGUUCGCGCUCUCCCCUG
rnacentral:snRNA from 1 species